ACCACUAAUCCGCAGUGGCCAAUCAUGUUUCACCAAAUUUCAUCUAUAUUCACGCGCAUUUGUUCCAUGGUUGAAAAUUUUGAACCUGGGGAGUCUGGGGAACGUUUGGUAUGGUUUCGUCGAUUUGAGAUCGAGUUGUUUUUUUUCGUAAUCUCUUCAUGUAUGCUAUUCAUAUGAGCUUACUGAAAUAAAUGAAUGAAUAAAAGUGACCUGGAC
rnacentral:lncRNA from 1 species